UACAGAGGUCUCAAGCGUUGUUCGGAUUCAUUGGGCGUAAAGGGUGUGUAGGUGGCGCCGUAAGUCGGGUGUGAAAUUUCGGAGCUUAACUCCGAAACUGCAUUUGAUACUGUGGUGCUUGAGGACUGGAGAGGAGACUGGAAUUUACGGUGUAGCAGUGAAAUGCGUAGAGAUCGUAAGGAAGACCAGUGGCGAAGGCGGGUCUCUGGACAGUUCCUGACACUGAGGCACGAAGGCCAGGGGAGCAAACGGG
rnacentral:rRNA from 1 species